AUUGAACGCUGGCGGCAGGCCUAACACAUGCAAGUCGAACGAGUGGCGGACGGGUGAGUAAUGUCUGGGAAUCUGCCUGAUGGAGGGGGAUAACUACUGGAAACGGUAGCUAAUACCGCAUACCCUCAGAUGAGCCCAUAUGGGAUUAGCUUGUUGGUGGGGUAACGGCUCCCCAAGGCGACGAUCCCUCGCUGGUCUGAGAGGAUGACCAGCCACACUGGGACUGGGCCACGGUCCAGACGCCUACGGUAGGCAGCAGGGGGGAAUAUUGCACAAUGGGCGCAAGCCUGAUGCAGCCAUGCCGCGUGUAUGAAGAAGGCCUUCGGGUUGUAAAGUACUUUCAGCGGGGAGGCGUUACCCGCAGAAGAAGCACCGGCUAACUCCGUGCCAGCAGCCGCGGUAAUAC
rnacentral:rRNA from 1 species